rnacentral:rRNA from 1 species
AGGAUGAACGCUGGCGGCGUGCCUAACACAUGCAAGUCGAACGUCCUGUCUCGCAAGAGGCAGGGAGUGGCGGACGGGUGAGUACCACGUGGGUCAUCUACCGUGAGGUGAGGAAUACCGGCGAGAAAUCGCCGACAAGACCGCAUAGCCUCGGUGCAAGUUGAGCAAAGCUCUUUCGAGAGAGGGAGCGCCACACGAGGAGCCUGCGCCCGAUUAGCUAGCUGGUGGAGUAACGGUUCACCAGGGCGACGAUCGGUAGCUGGUCUGAGAGGACGAUCAGCCACACUGGGAUUGAGAACGGCCCAGACUCCUACGGGGGGCAGCAGUGAGGAAUUUUCGUCAAUGGGGGCAACCCUGAACGAGCAACGCCGCGUGCAGGAAGAAGGUUUUCGGAUCGUAAACUGCUUUUCGUCGGGGAAGAGAACGGACGGUACCCGAGGAAUCGACGCCCCGGACUAACUACGUGCCAGCAGCCGC